AGCAGCCGCGGUAAUUCCAGCUCCAAUAGCGUAUAUUAAAGUUGUUGCAGUUAAAAAGCUCGUAGUUGAAUUUCGGGGUUCUACCGUUGGUCGGGCUUUGUCUGCACUGGCGUGUAGAAUUUCUAUCUUCUGGGGAACCAUCAUGUUAUUAAUUUAACGUGGUGGGAAACCAGGACCUUUACCUUGAAAAAAUUAGAGUGUUCAAAGCAGGCUUAUGUCUGAAUACGUUAGCAUGGAAUAAUAGAAUAGGACGGUGGUCCUGUUUUGUUGGUUUCUGAAUCACCGUAAUGAUUAAUAGGGAUAGUUGGGGGCAUUAGUAUUCAAUUGUCAGAGGUGAAAUUCUUGGAUUUAU
rnacentral:rRNA from 1 species